GCGCCAGCAUUUGCACGUUCAUGUCUCCCUUACAUGCCUUUCCUCCUGUUUGUUUGAGCUUAACAGAAGGAAUGGCAGAAGUUUGCCCAAAUAAGGUACAUGGGCAGACACCUGAGGCUUUCAACACCUGUUUUAACAAAGAAGAAGAACCCAUCAAGUCAAUUUUUCUGAUCCAGCAAACAGCAUAGGUCUGGGAGUCAAAAAGCCUGGUAGCACAUAGCCUCUCAACUACUUAUUACCUUCCCUGACACAUUUGUCCAUCCUGGAUGUCCAUUGAUUCAUCAUAA
rnacentral:lncRNA from 10 species